UUUUAACAAUAGCAAACCUAGGCGAAAGUCCAGGGACGCAAAGCCACGGGGCUACUGCAUGCGCAAUGCCAGCCGGGCUGCCGGA
rnacentral:ncRNA from 1 species